AUGGAACUCCAUUUUGAAAAUGAUGAGAACCAGAAAUGUGAUCACAUGGUGAUGUCAUUCACAAUACUUCUGACAUCUAUAUUUUCAGAAGGGUGCCCCUUUCAUGAGACCCACACCCCCAUCCUCACUAAGCUGUGGCCACUACCGACGCAUCCUGUCCCUCAACAGACAGCGUGUUCUGACAGCCCACUGUACUACGAAAGACCUCACGGUCACUGCAGUGACUGGAGGCAGCAGCCUGGAUCCUGCAGGCAAGCUAAGACUAAACAUGUCUUUUUUCGUUCUUCCCUUGAAUAUUCACUUGAAAAUAUAAUGAUUUUAUUUUUUAUCAUAACUAUGAUUAGUCUGGACGUGACUGGAUAGGAAAUGCCAACUUUUCCUGGGAAGGAAAUUAGGAUUCUUUGCCACUUUUAGAGAUUUUGGAAAUUGAGGCAAGUAAGGAAUCAAAGAACAAGUUUUAUUUCCAGUUUAAGGACCAAAUUCUUUACUGUGAAGUAUCAAAUCCAGUAAUAAGUUAAUACUAUAUUAAUCCAUAUAAGAAGUCUUAUACGGUCUGGAAGUUCACCUCUUAAAGAAAAAUCAUUGCCUCAGAAGAAUAUACUCAAGACAGCACAUACUAAACAUGCACCUCAGUCAUUAGUUUCUCGGGCUUUUGUAGUCAUUAAGUCAAUCACAGAAAUAUAAGUAAAAGCUGCUUUAAAAAAAAGCACAUUCAGAAUUAUGAGUUUGUUAUUAGUAGAGGUAUAUAAAACAUGGACAACUGGUUUUGCAGAAAGCUAAAAAAAGAUAUCCAAAAUCAACCUGUCAUAUUAUUUAGCUCACAACUCAAAUCAUUCUCCAAACUCAACAAAGAGCACACACACACGUGUUUUAAUUUCUAGAUUGUACACUGUUUCCUUUAGAUUCAGAAAAGAUCACAAAAGCAAACCAGUGAAAGCUCUUUCUGUCUAGUGUCAAGGCUAUAAAUUGUUAACAAACAUUGUUUAUUAAGAAUAAAGAGUAAUUGUUUUCCAGAAUUUGCAGGUGCCAAGGAAUCAUGGCAACAAAAUUGAAGAAUAACAAAGUAUUACAGGAAAAAAAAAGUAAAAUAUAAUGCUUUGGAAAAAAAUGUAGAAUAAAUUACAUUUUAAACCAGAAUAACUGACAAGCUUACAAGAAUCAUCUGGGCUGCUGUUUGGAGCGGCUUUUAAAACGUACAGCAAGCAAAAGCAGGGAGACAGCAGAGAGCAAGGAAGGGUGCUGAUCGAGGUCUGAGACACGGGGAACUACCUUCUUUUCUCUGGGCUUCAGUAUUCUCAUCAAUAACACUGGGGCAGAUAAUCUUUCUUGAAUCUUAAAAAUCCCAAAUCUCAAGAUUCCUUCUGAUCAUGAACAACAUUCUGAAGAAAGCAUACUCUCCUUGGAUUGAGAAUUAUUCCUAUGAUCACAACUAGGCUUUUCCUAUCCUGUUCAUCAGCUGACACACUCCUGAAACAAGGAAGCAUCCUCACCAGACAACAGCACCGCUAUAAAAAUGUUCAGGCAUUUAGGAGGUUGUUUUAACGCCUAAUAAUCACAUGAAAUGUGACAGAGACACUGACACAAGCUGUUAACAAGUCCAAGUCAAAGAAGUGUUUCUGAUCUCUUUUGUGAUUGGAAACGUGGAAAAAUCCUUUGCUUUUUGUCAAACGUUUCCCCUCACAAAAGGUACAUGGCACUUGAUUCCUCCGUACUUUAGAUGCUGGGAUUAGUAGGGUUCCUGCAAUCCGAGGGCACUUGGGGGUUGACACCCUGUGGUAAAUCUGGAAUCAACAGCCUGACAGAUGUGCUCCUGAGCUGCACACACUCCUCCAGAUUCACCUUUUUUGUUCUGUGUUUAACACUGGGCACCAUAUUCUCUGUGAAGGGUGUAAUAACUUCCACAAGAUGGCUAAAUUUUUUCUUAAAUUACUAAAAUUUAUGGCUUUCACAUUAGUAAACAAUCUGCAGUUUUUUCACUGAUGUCAAAGACGAAAGAUUAUAUAUACAGCAAUGAGCAUUAUUCUGGUAAUAAUGCCUAAAAUUUAUUAGUUCCAUUCUCUUCAUAUUGUAUACUGCCAAAUGUUUGACUAAGAAAUAAAUGCGAUCUGAUACCACCCACAGCUCAGAGACUAACAUAUGGCAGUCUCAGGCUGGUGUGGUUACUGAUGCUCUGGUUCUUUACUUCUAUCCCUGCAGGUGAACUGAUGAGAAACCAGUGUCCCUAGGCCACACUGAGAUGUGCCUUCACUGGGUUAGUAUUUACCAUUAAGGCCUCUCUGUGUAUUUUUCAUUUUCUUUAAAUUACAAGGAAAUGUCAUUCACUAUUAAGACCCUCCUUUCUUUAGUUUAAGAGAAAACUAGCCUCUUGCAGGUAAGUUUGAAUUUUCUACUAUGAAAAACAAAAACUGCUUUAGAAGCAGGAAAAUUUAGAAACAAUUUUUUUGUCCAAGCUUUACUUUCUUAGUGGUCUGAAACCAUGUACUUCUGUGCUGUUUUAAUGUUAAAUGUCUUCUUUGACAGCUUUGUAUUUUGUAGGCCCCUUCAUGCCCUUUGAAGAGAGUAGGACACAAAUUUCAAAAAUAAAAAUACAAGUGCUACUUAAGCAUAUUGUAUUAUUUACUACUAUAGAUGUUAGAGAUGUAUUUGUUUUCUUAAUGAAUAUAAUUUUACAUAGGAAAUGUGAUAAUUUCCCUUUCACUAAGAAUGAGAUCACAGUUGUUUUACUAAAUGUUGUCUGGCAUGUUAUCUACUAAAACGCCUAUUCAACAAAACUACUGAAAGGAUUUAACUAUCUAAUCUGGCUCUGGUUCAUUAGUUCACUGAAUACUACAUUCAUUAAGUCUUUACCUUCCCAAGUUGUAUUUUUAAAAUUGGAAAUUAUACUGAGUUUUAAAAAAACUUAAGACAAUACUAUGUGUAAGUUUUCCUAUCUUCUGGAUAGUAUAUACUUAUUAAAAAAAUGUGAUAUAAUAAGCAUUUUGAAGGAGUAUUUUAUAUAUAUAUAUAUCAUAUUUAAGGUCACAGUUUUCAUUAAUCUGAGAAAAUGUAAAGAUGUGAUAUUUUUAAAAAGUCAACGAAAUCUAGUGAAACUUUAAUUUCUCAUUUCAUGGAAAAUUUAACUACACAAAAUAUCAAACAUGAGAAUUUAUCUUUUAAAUGUCAUGCCUGUAUUAGUCAUAAUUCAAUAAAUGGAUUCCUUUCCACAUAUAUCUUAAGAUCCUAAAUCUCAGUGCUAUAAAUAAUAUGAUUGAAGAAUCUUGUAACAAUGUAUAUUUUAAUUAUCAGAUUUGUGUAGUGAUUUAGAUCAACAGAUACCAGUGAAAAAUUUAUCAUAAACUAAGUGCAAUAACAAGAGGAAACAAAAGCUUAUGUACACAUUACCAAGAUUUUUACAAUAAAUUAUAGUGUGCAGUUCCAUCACAGCAUAUUUGUAUACAAAGCCGCUACUGUGAACACUGAAAAGAAAUCUGUCGUGGAGGUCUUUAACCUUGAUUUAAUAAAGUUUGUACAGUAUCAAAUAAUAUCAAAAGUCUAAAAAAACACAAUGAUUUUUGUAUAUCAUGUUUAUAAAUUAUUGUUUAUAUACCAUAAGAAAAAUAAGGUCAAAAGUGCAGUUUAAAAAAAAGUGGAAAUUGUUAUUCUUGGUAAGAACUAGAAAAAUGUAUUGUCCCAAGUAAGAAGCAAUCUAAAGGCUUAAACAGUUGCUUAGGCAUUUUCCUUUAACUCUCAUACAACCUUGGUUACCAUAUGCUAUAGGACAAACCAGUACAAAGGGAGUAAAAUAACUUUUUAUAAAAAUAGGAAACACAGAUCUAGUAAUGAGUAACACUGGAAAUAAAUAUGAUAGGCCGCCCCCAAAAUGAAUUAAAUGACUUUUUACUCACGGGAAAAAAUGGGCUAUCACUGAAUGUGAUAAAACCUGGGAAAUUUCAAAAAAUUUUAAUUAAGUUUUUAGUUGUAACUGGCAAUGGUGCAUACAUCCCAGGAUUAUGAAACUUUCUAGUAUAAUAUAACCAAAACAAAAUAUGACUUAAAGGUGCUAAACCAUAUCACAGAAAAUAAAGGUUAAGGAUCCAGUAAUUAAAAGGCAGCAGUAUGGAAAUUACUCAAGAAACAGAUGGAUGAAACAUAAUUCUGUGUCUUAACUGGCACUUACAACAGUAACUAGUUAUAUUUUGACAAAUUCUAGAACAAAUGCCUAUACUGAAAUACAUGUGAAACAUUAACCAUUUAUAUAAGAAACUGAAACGGCAACAUUACUGGCUUCUAAAACAAAUUAAAUUUAGAGAAAAGAAAAAGUAAAAGGAAUGUGAAGAAAAAUCUUAUGUUUAAACUUAUUGUGGGAUCAAAAUUUUGACAGAGCUGAAUCAAUCAAGAACCGUCUUCCUGCUGCGAACACCAGCAGGCGGCUGAGCCUGGCGCAGCACCACGGCUCCCCUCUCCAGAUGCUACUAUGUAACUGGAGCUUUGUUUGUAGGACACUGAGCAAGAGAUGCUUAUUUUUUGUUUUUUACUGCAUGGACCAAGUUUCUUGGUUGGGUUAACAUAUAGACUGCCUGAGAUAAUGAAAACUUCACCAUUACAUUACUGCAAAAUGAAGGUCUUUCUAGUUCUGCCAGGAGAAAAGGGUUGGCUGUUGAAAAGAACAUGGAUGCUCUGUAGGCUGCAUACGUACAUACUUAAUAAUUA
rnacentral:lncRNA from 1 species